CGGCCGAUUGCAUAGCUGUUUCCUGUUCGUCCUUGACUCCCGACUUUGAUCUUGGUUCAGAUUGUACGCUGGCGGCAUGCCUUACACAUGCAAGUCGAACGGCAGCAUGGAGAGCUUGCUCUCUGAUGGCGAGUGGCGAACGGGUGAGUAAUACAUCGGAACGUGUCCGUUUGUGGGGGACAACCGUACGAAAGGAUGGCUAAUACCGCAUGAGACCUGAGGGUGAAAGCCGGGGACCGCAAGGCCCGGCGCAGACGGAGCGGCCGAUGAUUGAUUAGCUAGUUGGGGAGGUAAAGGCUCACCAAGGCGACGAUCAAUAGCUGGUCUGAGAGGACGACCAGCCACACUGGAACUGAGACACGGUCCAGACUCCUACGGGAGGCAGCAGUGGGGAAUUUUGGACAAUGGGGGCAACCCUGAUCCAGCCAUGCCGCGUGCGGGAAGAAGGCCUUCGGGUUGUAAACCGCUUUUGUCAGGGACGAAAAGCUCCGGAGUAAUAUGCCGGAGUGCUGACGGUACCUGAAGAAUAAGCGCCGGCUAACUACGUGCCAGCAGCCGCGGUAAUACGUAGGGUGCGAGCGUUAAUCGGAAUUACUGGGCGUAAAGCGUGCGCAGGCGGUUGGGUAAGACAGAUGUGAAAUCCCCGGGCUUAACCUGGGAACUGCAUUUGUGACUGUCCGACUGGAGUACGUCAGAGGGGGGGUGGAAUUCCACGUGUAGCAGUGAAAUGCGUAGAUAUGUGGAAGAACACCGAUGGCGAAGGCAGCCCCCUGGGACGCAACUGACGCUCAUGCACGAAAGCGUGGGGGAGCAAACAGGAUUAGAUACCCUGGUAGUCCACGCCCUAAACGAUGUCUGCUGGUUGUUGGGAAUUUAAUUCUCAGUAACGAAGCCAACGC
rnacentral:rRNA from 1 species